rnacentral:lncRNA from 1 species
ACAAACGAUCGUCAUUGGAAAACAUUGCUCUUAUGGAAAAGUCAAAGAAAAAUCUCUGGUAUUAAUAAUCAGAGAGAGAUUUGCAAAAUUAUUGAUAAAAAUGUGGAAACAGGUAGCUAUGUUUACGAGGGUUAAAGGUUGCAAUCUUUUUAUAAUUGUUAGGAAAUAUUGGUGGCCAAGAAGAGGUUUUGCAAUGGACAAUGGAAAAAAUGCAACGUUCAGCUAUCACGGAAAGUCGUGACGUAACUAGGAUUGCGAAAAUUGGCCUUCGUCGAGGUAUUGCUGUAACGAUUCCAGCGUUUAUCGGUCGGGGUUCUGCCGACGUUUCACCGAGUUCGCAGAUUCACAAAACGAGUUCACCGUUCUUGGAAAUCGAGCUGCGUUAAUAAGGUCAUGGAUCUCUAAUUAAUCCUUUACGUUUCUUUCUUCUCGACCUGAUAAAUUGGUAAUAGUUAAAUCGAACUUGUAAUCAUGUACUUAAUCUCUCGUUCUAAUUUAACGUAACACCCCGCAGUUACAACGAAGAAUUUGUAAAGAGACGGGAGCUUUCUGGAACGAGUCAUUUCGCUUCGAUGACAAAACUUGCGACCUGGUCAAAGAGCAACGAGAAAGCGAUAGAAAAAGCGGUGGACAAUGAGAGGGAGAUCCGCAGUGAUGUCACGACGUAUUGUAUUUCGCUUAUCGACGCCAGAUGCCGAUUCCUCGUGGAACUCGUAGCAUUUCACGAAUGCGAAUGCCACGAUUUCCGACGACAAUGACCACCGAGACAACGACCUUCGAAGAUCGACUUUGUUCUAGUCAACGCACCUUCAUAUUUUUAUACUCGCCAAGAAAAUCUUUCAGUUUGAUAUACGGAGAUAAAAUGAAGUUUUUAAUCCUUAGUUUGUUAUUUUCUGCUGAUGACAAAACAAUGUAUCAUUAUUUAGACGUUAGUCUAAAAACUUCACUAGGUGCACCGUUAUAGUUGACAUAUUUGUGUGCGCAAGGCACCCGUGAUCAAUGUUAUGACAAUUCGAGGUCGCAGCACGGUGUCCCCGUUUUCAAAACAGUUUUUUGUCGACCUAUGCAGGCGAUGGAGGGAAUAAUUCGUUGGGGGUAGGACAAAUAGUCAUUUACAAUAAUUAUUGGUACGCUAAGUUUUACAACCUAAGUUUUAUGUCACUGAACACUUGCUUAAUUUUUAAAUUGCAUUGAUUUAAUGAUAAGGUCAAGUGAUGAGGGUCAAUCAAGGAAUUCAUGACUCCAUAUUGUAUAUCUACAUCGAUUAUAAGUUGGAACAAACAUCGAGGGGCGUCAGGACACGUGUAAUGUCUAAUGACCCAUCUCUGACCUAAUCAAGGGUAGCUUUUGAGAGAACCUCUCCAUUCAGAAAACAGGAGCACGUGCCUCCCUAUUAGCUUGAAAACGUGUCUAUAACGAUGGGGCCAUUAACGUAACGAUAAAGUAACUUCAGGAUCAAAUGGAUGAUCAUAAUUCAGUUAAAAUAAUAAACACCUGAUGUAAAAAUUAUAAUUAAAGUCACCCUACAGAUGUGGAUCUUCAGGAUUUAAGAGUCUUGAAAAAUAACACAUUGCCAGGGUAAUUAAGCUUCACACAGCACCAGUGAAUCCCAACGCAACCAGAAAUUGAAUUUCACCUCCAAAGAAACAAAGCGCCGAAUCAAAAACGCAACGUACACCGCGUAUCAGCUUUAAGAUAAGAAGAGUAAGGGGUGAGGAAGGUACGAGGAUAAAACAGAAGCUCGAAUCAGAGGGCAGAGGGUCAUCUGCGCGACGAUAGCUCAUCUCAUGGUAUCUUCCGCGUGAGCCAAUCGUCGCCUGGUAUCUCGACCUCGUCAACGUCGUCGUCGCAACGUUUUCCAGCGUCCUUCUCUCGUACUUGUACACCGGAAGUAUAUAUAGAAUUGCAACUCGUCAAAAAUCUACUUUCUUCAGCUCCUAAAUAUCACGUUUCAACCAUUUCUUUCAGGACGGAUGAUACGUUAUCAAAGAAAGAAGAGUUGUGUUUACUAUAACGAAUACUCGGUGUUUUGCAAAGGAACUAAUCAUGUAGCAGGUUUGACCAAAAACAGCAAUAAGGAUUACUUAACCAGAUAAUUCGAGGGGCCCGACCGUGUUCCCGCCUUUUGGUUCGUCGUCGCAGAUUUAUCAGGAAUCUCCUUCCUUCGCGUUUCGCGAUUGAACGACCGUCAUUCUGAUCAUCUUAUCGUUACAGAGUCAAGGAAGCGGAACUUAGACGAUAAGAAAAUCGAGUACAAACUGCGUGCAAUUCUUGGAUGCUCGGGGAAGUGGCUCAAGGAAUCAACUCGUGACACAGGUUGACGCAGAUCGAUCAAGUUUACUAUAACGCGGAUUACGAGAUUUUAUCAAAUUGAAUCUAAUAUAUAAUACAACUGGAGUGCGAACGAGAUUGAUAAGCGGAUUCGCGACUCCUUUAUCAGCUACGAUUAGACGAAAGCCGUGCCCUUGUUUACUACAAGAUCUAUUUUAACGCAAGCGCGAAGAUAUUACAUAUGGCCUGGUUUCUGGAUAAACAAACAGGGUCGCGUUAUCGUUGCUGAAAACCAGGCGCCAUCGAUUCGCCAAAAGAUUGCAAGGUGUUUACAACUUAUUAACCCCUUGAUCAUACAAAUGCGGAACGAUGCUCCUUGCACGGUUUAAACGAAGUUAAAUAGCAGUCCAUAGUAAUCAGGGCUGCACAAUUAAACGCGUCGACUAAGCCGUGCUCAGGCUUAUCGGACAUUCUUUAUUGUGUCGAUAAAUUUGCACGCGAAUGCGAUUGUUAAACGUAAUACGGGAAUGUGGAGCACGAAUCAAGACGAAUAGAGGAGUAGAAGCGACGGAGGGAUUCACGAAAACGCUGUCGUUGGCCGAUAUAUCAGCUCUCGGCUGGUGGAGCAGCCAACAUUCCCGGAUUAGCGACCAUAACUCUCGCUGGUGAGAGCACUCUGAACAGCUCUCUCGAUUUCGAAAACACGAAAAGCGACGAGGCGGUUCUUGUUGCUUCUGCAAAAAUUCCUGACCGCCUCGGAGGAUCCUUAAGCGAAGGUUUAUCUUAAGGAAUUAGAGAUGACUAGGAUUUUUACGGCGCCUUUAUGAUCAGCCUUUUAUACCGGAGAUAUCGACGACGGUGAGCUUCUUGGAUUUCAACGGUGGUGCGCUGAGGAUUAAUCGUGUCCAACGGUUUCUGUUUAUCUAGCGAUUAGCGAAUCAGACAAAUCUGGUAACGCGAAACCGUGCACGCAACCGCUUCCCUUUAUCAACGUUUAUCGUAGCCUUCGAUCCUGUGUCGGACCUCUUUCGACAUCUUCAGGUUCCGUUACGGAUCAGAGAAAUAUUCUCCGGGAGUCUUAUGCUGGUAAAAGAAUCCCCAUAACGAUGUUAAUGUUCAAAAGUUGUUCUUAAGAGAACCUUUCGAUCAAAAUAGAAUGCACAAACGGUAAAUUCGACUAAUUAAAUCAUAAAGUGCCUAUAACGCGUUAACGAUACUAUAAUGCAUGCUUUAAUUCAACAGGAAUGAUCGUUCAGUUUUUGGAUGGAUUUAUUAUGCUCCCAUAAACAAGCGGUCUCCCGUCUCUGUCUCUCCCGCUGGAUAAUUAAUGGAUAUGGUUUGCGUUAACGACCAGCUUAUAACUGGACGUAUCCAUCAGCAACAUGAUACAAUCAACCGCGUAUAUUCAGCGAGCGCAAAAACAAUUGGGCGAUAGUGGCUGAUAAAUCAUGAAAGGGCGCCUACCUUGAUGCAGAGAUGGGAGAGGCGAUGGCGGUGACACCUGAAAUGGCUCCUGUUUGAUCUUUAGAGAAUGGGAGGACU